rnacentral:rRNA from 1 species
AGCUUGCUCUCGGGUGACGAGCGGCGGACGGGUGAGUAAUGUCUGGGAAACUGCCUGAUGGAGGGGGAUAACUACUGGAAACGGUAGCUAAUACCGCAUAAUGUCGCAAGACCAAAGUGGGGGACCUUCGGGCCUCAUGCCAUCAGAUGUGCCCAGAUGGGAUUAGCUAGUAGGUGGGGUAACGGCUCACCUAGGCGACGAUCCCUAGCUGGUCUGAGAGGAUGACCAGCCACACUGGAACUGAGACACGGUCCAGACUCCUACGGGAGGCAGCAGUGGGGAAUAUUGCACAAUGGGCGCAAGCCUGAUGCAGCCAUGCCGCGUGUGUGAAGAAGGCCUUCGGGUUGUAAAGCACUUUCAGCGGGGAGGAAGGCGAUAAGGUUAAUAACCUUGUCGAUUGACGUUACCCGCAGAAGAAGCACCGGCUAACUCCGUGCCAGCAGCCGCGGUAAUACGGAGGGUGCAAGCGUUAAUCGGAAUUACUGGGCGUAAAGCGCACGCAGGCGGUCUGUCAAGUCGGAUGUGAAAUCCCCGGGCUCAACCUGGGAACUGCAUUCGAAACUGGCAGGCUAGAGUCUUGUAGAGGGGGGUAGAAUUCCAGGUGUAGCGGUGAAAUGCGUAGAGAUCUGGAGGAAUACCGGUGGCGAAGGCGGCCCCCUGGACAAAGACUGACGCUCAGGUGCGAAAGCGUGGGGAGCAACAGGAUUAGAUACCCUGGUAGUCCCA